rnacentral:rRNA from 1 species
UACAGAGGGUGCGAGCGUUAAUCGGAAUCACUGGGCGUAAAGGGCGCGUAGGCGGCCAUUCAAGUCAGAGGUGAAAGCCCAAGGCUCAACCUUGGAACUGCCUUUGAUACUGUUUGGCUUGAGACCGGUAGAGGUAAGUGGAACUGCGAGUGUAGAGGUGAAAUUCGUAGAUAUUCGCAAGAACACCAGUGGCGAAGGCGGGUCUCUGGGCCGAUACUGACGCUGAGGAGCGAAAGCGUGGGGAGCGAACAGG